rnacentral:rRNA from 1 species
CCCUUAGAUGUUCUGGGCCGCACGCGUGCUACACUGAGUGGAUCAGCGGGUCAGGUUGCGCGAAAGCGAUUCCUAAUCUUUAAAUCCGCUCGUGAUGGGGAUUGACGGUUGCAAUUUUCUGUCAUGAACGAGGAAUACCUUGUAAGCGCGGGUCAUCAUCCCGCGCUGAAUACGUCCCUGCCCUUUGUACACACCGCCCGUCGCUCCUACCGAUUGAGUGGUCCGGUGAGGCUUUGGGAUCUGAGCGGAAAGAGCGUUUCGCUGUUUCUGCUCGGAAAACUCAGUCGAACCUUAUCAUUUAGAGGAAGGAGAAGUCGUAACA